AGUGGCGGACGGGUGAGUAACGCGUAAGAAUCUAACUUCAGGACGGGGACAACAGUGGGAAACGACUGCUAAUACCCGAUGUGCCGCGAGGUGAAACCCAAUUGGCCUGAAGAAGAGCUCGCGUCUGAUUAGCUAGUUGGUGGGGUAAGAGCCUACCAAGGCGACGAUCAGUAGCUGGUCUGAGAGGAUGAGCAGCCACACUGGGACUGAGACACGGCCCAGACUCCUACGGGAGGCAGCAGUGGGGAAUUUUCCGCAAUGGGCGAAAGCCUGACGGAGCAACGCCGCGUGAGGGAGGAAGGUCUUUGGAUUGUAAACCUCUUUUCUCAAGGAAGAAGUUCUGACGGUACUUGAGGAAUCAGCCUCGGCUAACUCCGUGCCAGCAGCCGCGGUAAUACGGGGGAGGCAAGCGUUAUCCGGAAUUAUUGGGCGUAAAGCGUCCGCAGGUGGUCAGCCAAGUCUGCCGUCAAAUCAGGUUGCUUAACGACCUAAAGGCGGUGGAAACUGGCAGACUAGAGAGCAGUAGGGGUAGCAGGAAUUCCCAGUGUAGCGGUGAAAUGCGUAGAGAUUGGGAAGAACAUCGGUGGCGAAAGCGUGCUACUGGGCUGUAUCUGACACUCAGGGACGAAAGCUAGGGGAGCGAAAGGGAUUAGAUACCCCUGUAGUCCUAGCCGUAAACGAUGGAUACUAGGCGUGGCUU
rnacentral:rRNA from 1 species